UACGUAGGGUGCAAGCGUUGUCCGGAAUUAUUGGGCGUAAAGAGCUUGUAGGUGGUUUGUCGCGUUGUUCGUGAAAUCUCACGGCUUAACUGUGAGCGUGCGGGCGAUACGGGCAGACUAGAGUACUGCAGGGGAGACUGGAAUUCCUGGUGUAGCGGUGAAAUGCGCAGAUAUCAGGAGGAACACCGGUGGCGAAGGCGGGUCUCUGGGCCGUAACUGACGCUGAGGAGCGAAAGCGUGGGGAGCGAACAGG
rnacentral:rRNA from 1 species